rnacentral:siRNA from 1 species
UUCUGCCCUAUCAACUUUCGAUG